GGAGAGAUGGCCGAGCUGGUUGAAGGCGCUCGCCUCGAAAGCGAGUAGGCGGUUAACCUGCCUCGUGAGUUCGAAUCUCACUCUCUCCGCCA
rnacentral:tRNA from 2 species